UCACUCUGGGGUGGAGGGCAGGGGCGGAGAGGAGGCCAGCGCGCUCCCCGUUCUGACUCCCCGGCCGGGAUGGACGGUGCCAGGAGCAUCCGACUGGCUCCAGUGCGCCUGGUCACCCCCUCCCUGUCCUUCUUCCAGGGACAAGGACCCCGCAUCACUCAACACGGACAGAGGGAAGCUGGCCGGGGCCGUGGACCUGGAGCGUCAGAGCUGAAGCCCCGCUUCACGGGCUCCACGCUCUCCACGACGGAUUUU
rnacentral:lncRNA from 1 species